AUGACCUGAACUUCACCCUGCUCCUAAGCAAGCCACCUCUCUCUUUCUCUCACCUUCUCCUAUUUCCUCCAUACUUUCACCUACUAUGAGCCAGAAUUACAUCUCUCCAAAUGGGGUGGCUCCAAUCCCUCAUCUCUCCAUUGAGGAAGCUAUGGUUUCGCCUGCACUCAUCUCACAAGAAGAGGAGAGGGAUAUACCUUCUAUAUGAGGAUGUGAAGUCUUGCCCCUGUGAAGAUGUGCAUGUGUUGUGGUCAAUACUAGUGGAAUCCAAUACACCUCCUUUUACAUCAAUAAAAUGAAUGCAUACACACAGAGAUCACGAGCACAAAAUGCUAGGUUUUCAGUCAUGUACAUAAGUUACAUAGCAGGUUUUAUAUUAAUUUUUGUGUUUCUCGUUUUCUUCUUGUUUCAUUGUGAACUUUAGAAUUUAGAUAAUGUAUUUCUAAGUUAUUUGA